GCAUUCUAGAUACACUUUCCAGUACAUCUACUAUGUUACGACUUAUCUUAUCUUAAUAAUAAGAGUGACGGGCGAUGUGUGCAUAUUUUAGAGCCAAAGUCAAAUCAACUAUCUUCAUAAAUUUACUUCCAAAUCCACCUUCAGUAAAAAUUUUCACCCUAUAAAUCCGUCUAAAUUUAUUUAUUGUAACCCAUCUCUACUUAAACAUAAGCUACACCUUGAUCUGAUAUAUCUUUUAAUUCAAACACUUGAAAAUGAUCUUUCUUAUAAAAUUUUCUUAUAACGACGGUAUAUAAACUGUUUAACAAGCUUAAGUAAGGUCCAACGUGGAUUAUCGAUUAAAGGACAGGUUCCUCUGAAUAGACUAAAAUACCGCCAAAUUUUUUAAGUUUCAAGAACAUAACUACUACUACCUCAGCUUCAUAAUCUACACUUCAAAUAAUAGGGUAUCUAAUCCUAGUUUAUAUUUGAAAUUUCCAAGCCUCAACACCUCUUAAAUAAAAGCUACAUAUAUUUAAAAUUUCACCUAAAAAAUCUAUAUUAACUUUCACUUCCACAAUCUAACUCAAACUAACAAAAUUUACUUGCAUCAUUCGUAUAACCGCGGCUGCUGGCACAAAUUUUGCCGAUACUACUCAAUAUUACUAUAUCUAAAUUUCUUUAACUAAUAAUACCAAUUACUGCGAAUAUAAUUAAUACAUCAACUUUUAAAAUUAACAUAAACUCUCACAAAAAUUUACAUAUAAAUUAAAUUGACAGUAAAUUUUUAAGCUAAAAUAAAACUUUCU
rnacentral:rRNA from 1 species